rnacentral:rRNA from 1 species
UACGAAGGGUGCUAGCGUUGCUCGGAAUCACUGGGCGUAAAGGGUGCGUAGGCGGGUCUUUAAGUCAGGGGUGAAAUCCUGGAGCUCAACUCCAGAACUGCCUUUGAUACUGAAGAUCUUGAGUUCGGGAGAGGUGAGUGGAACUGCGAGUGUAGAGGUGAAAUUCGUAGAUAUUCGCAAGAACACCAGUGGCGAAGGCGGCUCACUGGCCCGAUACUGACGCUGAGGCACGAAAGCGUGGGGAGCAAACGGG